UGACCCAGGAAGUGUGGACUAGGCUUUAGCCAAAUGAUACUUGAGAUAAGGUCCCUGGGCAACUCCCAGGCAGGAAGCUUAGCAAUACUUCCAGAAACAGAGAGGUUCCAACAGCUUCAACCAAGCCUCAGCUGUCUACAUGCAGCUUCCUCCGUCUCUCAGGGUUUCAUAUUUCCAAAGAAUUAUCCAAAUGAGGAUUCUUAGGCUUGCUUCUUUAGAUACAAUCCAGCCAGCAAGGUGUGGUGGCACAUACCUGUAAUCCUAGGGAUUCAGGAGGCUGAAGCAGGAGGAUCACAAGUUCUAGACCAACUUCUGCAACUUACUGAGAUUCUAAGCAAGUUAGCAAGACCCUGUGUCAAAAUAAAAAACGAAAAGCACUGGGGAUGGAACUCAAUGGUAAAGCACUUCUAGAUUCAAUCUCGAGUGCCAAAAUAAAUAAAUAAAUACACAAAUAAAUAGCUACUUUUUCCCUCUUCUUCCCUUGGCUGGCCUGCAUUGGCUGGAGGAUGUGGUCUUGGUGCAGGCAAAUUGAGCUUGACUGUUCACUUGGAUGCUUAUUUGCUGUGUGACAUUGGGCAGGGCAUUGUACCCUGGGGACUGCAGUUUACUCAACUCAAAACGUGCAUGGUCAUGUUGGAAUCACAGAGCAUGGGCACUUUCUUGGUCCGACACUUUGCCUUUUGUGCAACUCAGUUUCCUUAGCUGUGAAAUGAGAAUGUGACUUUUGCAGAUGAACGGGGUGAGUAGAGGUAGGAACUGGGCUUCUCUUUCUGGCAGCUUUUCAUGCUUUCCCUCCCUACAGUAAAAAGAACUUCAACCUCCAGAUUUUGUGUAAAUAUUGAAUUUAUAGCAAUGGUUUCAUAGAGUGUUCCAGUUUCCUGGGUUGAUGAUUAAUGUGGUUUUGUCGGAGAGCAUGAUGUCUUUGCAAAAGGCAUUCCUGCCAGUCCUGUGAGCUACAUGGAGGCUCAGUGUAGUUUUUGCUUUUCUCUGGGGUCAUGUGGAAGAGGGAGCCGAGGCAUUCUGUGUUGCCCAUUGGGCAGAAGACGCAUCAGCUGAC
rnacentral:lncRNA from 1 species